rnacentral:pre_miRNA from 1 species
UGGAAGAUGUUGAAGCACGUCAUCCUGUUUAUGGCUUUGGCCAUUUCUAUCAUUANUAAGAAGAAAUUGGCUUCAUACAUUAGAACGUGUCUGAACAGCGCCA